UCUCUGAGGCAGCACGGCGGAGAGCUCUGCGGGAAUUUUUUUAAGGGUUGUUGCCCCUCUCCGCCUGUAAAUGAUGCCCAGCCCCUCAUCUCAUCGGAAAAUUCUUCCGAUCGAUUAUCAACAACCCUUUCUACGCCACCGGACUUGUCCGGUGUGCGUCUGUAUUUUUUUUUUUUUUUUUUUCUUUUCGGUUCCUACACGAGCCGAGCCGAGCUGAAGAAGAAUAAGAGGAAGAACCUGUUGCAUGUAUGCAUAUAUAUAUAUAUAUAUAUAUUCGUCCCAAAUCAAAGGCUGUGAUGAUGAUAUGGUCCGGGUAGGGUCGGUGGGGAUGAUGCGACCCGUAUCUUGGCCGGGCGAACCCGGAUCCUCUGUGACCGGGUUCUGCAGCCAUGGCGGCGCCGCCGUCUCUUCACCGCUGUUUAAAAUAUCUGAGCCUUACUUUUUAUUUGAUUUUUGUGUUUCUUGUCAACGAAGAAAGACAACGAAUUAUAGGUCACAAAUAUUAAAGAAGUUUUGGGUAAAGAUUUGAGUUAGGACAAAGGUUUUAAUGGAAAAAACACACCAUAGAUCGCGAAUCAAGUGUGUUUGUUUUGGGGAUUGGAUUGGAUUUAUACUAUUCAUCUAGUUUUUUUCUCCAAAAAUAUCAAAUCAGAACACUUAUUUUUUAUUUUUUAUAUUAUACUAUAAAUCAAUUUUACAUUCAAAAUAUAACAUCAACAUCUAUUUAUAUCAUAUUAUACAACUAUUCAAAUUCAAAAUUUUUGCUAUUCAAAUCCCACACUCAAAAUCCAAAGUCCUCGACAAACACACCAAUACUUCACAGGAAUUGAUAAAUUCUGAGUUAAAUUUCAACGGCAGGGAUGAACAGAAAAAUGCCCAAAAGGACGUGGAUAUCAAUCGACAAAAAUCAAAUGUAACGAAUGAACAAAACAUAAAAUCUAAAAAUCCUCGAAAUUGACAAAUUUGAACACGGUUAUAGAAGAAGGAAUUGUCCAACUCUUAGAACUUCGCAGAAAUCAAUCAUUUCAAAAAAAAAAAAAAAAAAAAAGGCCAUAAAAGAACCCUAGAAAUUGACUUACAUCCAAGGAACGGAUAAAAAAAAUAUUUGGACCAUUUAUUGUCCGCCUAGAUGAGGAAUUACUGAGCUUUUCAAUUUGGCAAAGUGGGAUGUUCUCAGAAUUGUUGGGCCAUGGUGGGCCAGAAUUACUUGGGCCUAUUUUAAUUUUUAGGCCCAAUAGACAGUCUCCAAUAUAAUUCAUUAUUCAGUAGCGCAGUCCAAAACAUUUCUAUAAUUUGAUUUAUUUCUUAUUUAAAUAAAAUAUCAAUUUUCUGUAGUUUAAAAAAUCAAACGCAUCUUCAUCUACAACAAUUCUCAAUUUUAUGACCGUACAUUUUUUAUGACCAGAAUGCCCUUGAUCGUCGUCUACUUAAUGCUUGCUAGGGUUCUUCAAUUUUCCCCAAAUCCCAACUCAGAGGCAGCGCAGCGGAGAGUUCUGCGGGAAUUUUUCGAAGGGUUGUUGCCCCUCUCCGCCUGCCAAUGAAUUUCGUUGCGCCAAUAAUCAACAACCCUUCUACGCCGCGACGCGCCGUCGCCGGGAUCUCACCGGCGUCGCUGUGCGUCGGCGGCAAGAGCUCGAAGGAUAUCGAACAUAUUCUGCGAGAUCCAUUUCAAUUCAAUCCAUACACGAACUCAUUCAAAACCAAACAUACCCUUUUUCUGCAAUGAUUACCUUUCGGUUCGAACCGCCGGUUUCGGUACGCGCGUGCGAUCAAUCUGAGGCUGUGAUGAUGGUUUCUUCUUUGAGUUGGGUCGGGCUGGGAUUUCGCGGCCCGUAUCUUGGCUAGGCGAAAGCCCGGAUCCUCUGUGACCGGAUUCUGCAGCCAUGGCGGCGCCGCCGUCCCAUUGCCUGUGUUCUUUUGCAAGAUCUGAGCCUCCUCCCUCCUGUCUUUUCCUCCCCCAUUAAGAUUUUGUUUCUCCAUUUUUAGGAAUUCUAUCCGAUUUUUCAACCUGCCUGUUCUUCUAUGGGAUGAAUUUACAGUUAUCCGAGGAAGAAUUUUAUCAUAGUUCUAAGGAACAAUGAAGUCUGUUUUAAUGGUUAAUUACUUAGAGGUCAAUUUAACUCCCAACUUUUGAAGAAACAGUCUCUACCUUCGUCAUCUACAUCUGUAUUUAUUAUAAUCUUCUUAGUGUUCAUUCUUACAUUUUUAUUUUUACUUUUUAAGAUUUAGAUUCAAUUUCGAAAGAAAAAUUAGUUUUUUAUAUGAACAUAUAGUAUUUGCAGCAACAGGUAUAAUUUUACUUACCCUGUUUUUCACAUGUUGCCGAAUUAAGAUCAAUUAGGGUUUAUUGUUUCCAUUUCGAGCUGAAAUUGAUCUUGGCAGGUAUUAUUGGAUUGUGCUGAACAGAUGAUUUGCAUAAUAAUUUCUUGAGCUCAUUAUAUUUGUUAUUGUGUUUGUUCUUGUACAUGAUUUCGUCGAGUCUUUUGUUAUUGUUGCUUCUUGUUGAGAAAGUUGCACAAAAAGUAUUGGUUGUGGUGUGCCAAUGAAUCGAUGAAAUGCCGAAUAGAUAUCUUCUUUGAUGGAAAAUUUAUUUGACUUGUUUUGAAGCCAAUGGUAGUGUUUUAUAGAAUGACAUAUAGAUUAACUUUAUAAUCGAUGAAAAAGAAUUCCUUUCUAAUUUGAUUGAUGAUCUAUAAUAUAAAUCGUCAAUUAACUGCAGAUUUUGUUUCGUUUGCAACCAUGUCUCUUUUUUAUGUGGUGAUUGUCCGGAUGUGUGAUCUGUAGUGAAACUAACUGAGUUCUCAAUCAUUCUUUAGGUUGUUUUCUUUGUAAGGAUUUGAGACUAAGUGGGACAACACUUUUGGAUCUUGUUUGGUCCGCGGCCAUGUCUCUUUGGUAUGCGGUGAUUAGUUGGAUGUGUGAUUUGUCGCGAAACUAAUUGAGUUUUCGAUUGGUUUCUGGUUUAUUUUGUAAGAAUUUGAAAUGAUCGGCGAAUCUCCUAGUUACACGUAAAGCUUCGAUGGUCAAUUCAGGAUCAUGUGAUCAUUUUAGUUAUGCCAAGAAAGCUUGAAGUUUGCAAUUCCAGAUACCAAAACAUUGCACAUCAUAAUUACGAGGACUCCAACUCCUUUCACCAGCAUUGACAGCGGUCAGAUCGCGAGGAAUGUGGUUGAUGGCACGAGUGAACAUACGACAAUGUUCAUCUAACAUUGUUUUGAUUGCAAGUUGCUCACUCGCCAUUUGUCGCAGGAGUUUGCGGGCUUAAAAAAAUAGACUUGCCAAGUCCAUCGGGGUCGGUUCUUGAAAAUCAUUAUGCAGACCCUCCAGGUUUGAUUUUGGGGAAAAAUGGGUGGAGUAAACAAUUUCUUCAUCUGGUAUGGGAGGAUGGAUGUUGUGAUGUGACACCAGCAAGGUAAUGAGAGCUGGAUACGGCAAUUUUUUGGAUGUCCUUCUUCAGGUUACCAUGAGCAAACGACAAUUUUUGAAAUCACCAGAAAGCCAUAAUUCAAAUGGUUAGCAAAACUAUCAAUGGCAGGAAAGAGAUUAUCUAUCUCGGUGCCAAUUGAGGAACCAUUUGAAGUGGGGAACACAUUGUAACCAAAACAGGCACUGAAACUUCAUGGUGAGUCCCUGACUUGCGGACCUCGUCUCCUUAAGUAGCUUUGCGGCCAGACACCAUGAGGGUUACAUCCCGAUUUGAUUUUGUCACAAUUUUACAUGGCAGUUGCUCAGAAUUGUCAGUAGGCAGUCGUAACAACCUGUUGAUCAAAUCUGGGCUUAACUCGAUCAAUUAUCCACGGAUGUAUAUCUUGUGAAACCACUGUGAACCUUCUACCAAGACAGGUAGGCAAAUUAGCAUAAAAUUCUCUAACAAGUUUGGAAUAAUACCUCAUCAAGCUAACAGCCCAAUGGAAAAGUCAUUUUUCCGUAGGUACUCCGUGAAUCCAACGUCAGUGUGUUGUGGACUAUUGAAUAUCAUGUCACCGAUAAACUUCAUAGGUCCAAAUCGUUGUAUUUAUAUCGUUCUGCCUCAUCAUCAAAGUUGAUUUCAUCCUAGCACAUUCUGAAGAAAUCAUUCGAGGAACAUCAUUAUGUUCUCGAAACUUUUCCCACUUAAGCUUUUCUCUCAGCUUCUGUAGAUUCUUUUUCCGUUUUUUCUUCGGAGGUUGUGACGACUCUGGAAUAUCAAAUGCAAAUCAAGGACCUGUUGAGACUGAAACAGAGGUCCCUACACCUACAGAUGUUAUGGUUCAUGAUACUCCCGACAUGAUAAAUCAUCGGCUGAUAUUGAUGAUAACAGUGUUCCAACAGUCCCCUUGGCCAAACGACAAGCUAAAGUUGAUAUUCCUGAGUCGUCACAAUCUCCAAAAAAAUAAAAAAAAGAACGGAAGAAGAAUCUGUAGAGAGAAAAGCUUAAACGGAAGAAGUCUCGAAUACAUGGUGAUGUUCCUCGGAUAAUAUCUCCAGAAUGUGCUAUGGAUGAAACCCAUUUUGAUGAUGAGGCAAAACGAUAUAAAUACGACGAUCUGAACCUGCAAAGCUUUAUCAGCGAAAUGGUAUUCAAGUUUCCAAGACACUAACGUUGGACUUACAUAGUACUUACGGGAAAAUGGACUUUUUUAUUGGGUUGUUAGUUUGACAAGGUAUUAUCCCAAAUUUGUUAGAGAAUUUUAUGCUAACUUUCCUACAACUGUCUUGGUGGAAGUUUCAUAGUGACAAGACAUACAUCCUUGGACAAUUGAUCGAGUUGUACCCAAGAGUUGAUCAACAGGCUGUUACGUCUACCUUUUGAUAAUCCUGAGCAAUUGCGCUAUAAAAUUGUGAUAUAAUCAAAUUCGGAUGUAACUCUCAUGGUGUCUGGCCGCAAAGCCACUAAUUUUGAGAGACGAGGUCUGCAAGUUAGGCAACUCACCAUGAAGUUUCAAUGUUUGUUUCGCCUUUAUGGUUACAACGUGGUCCCCAUUUCAAAUGGUUCUUCCAUUGGCACCGAGAUGGGUAAUCUCUUUUUUGCCAUCGAUAGAUUUGCUAACCAUUUGAAUCUUGGCUUUCUGGUGAUUUCAAAGACUUUUUGGUGAUUUCAAAGAUGGUCAAGUUUGCUCAUGACAACCUGAAGAAAGACAUCUGCAAACCGCCGUACCCAACGUUCAAUACCAUGCUGUUAUCACAUCACAAAAUCCAUCCCAAACCAGAAAAAGAAAUUGUUUACUUCGCUAUUUUCUCCCCGAAAUCAAACUUGGAAGGUUUGUAUAAUGACUUUCAGGAAUUGACCAUGAUGGAGUUGACGAUGGACUUGACGAGUCAGCUUUUCUAAACCCGUGAACUCUUGCGUGAAGUGGUGCAUGAGCAACUUGCAAUCAAAACAACGUUAGAUGAACAUCGUUGUAUACUCUCCUUCAAACUUCAUUCCUCGUGAUUUGACCGUCGUCGAUACUGGUGAGGAGGAGCUGAAGUCCUCAUGAUUAUGAUGUAUAAUAUUUUGGCAUAUGCUCCGUGCACGGGGGAUAGAAGUUCAAGUAAGGGGAGUAAAUUAUGACUUUGGUGUUAGUUGUUUUUGCUGAUUGUUUUUUUGGCUAGGUCUGAUGGUUAUUCAUUUGUUGCUGUUGGACAAAAUAUAAAAUGCCGUUGUGGAUUUUGAUUUUUUAGUUUAAAUAGUUUGAAUAAUUGUUUAAUAUAAUAUAUAUUGAUGUAAAAUUUUGUAGAAAAAUCACAAAAAUUCCUUUUUAUUUUUAUAGAUUGAAAUGUUGGCUUUGUUUGAUAUAAAAUUCACAAUGAGUAUUA